rnacentral:rRNA from 1 species
AGAGUUUGAUCAUGGCUCAGAACGAACGCUGGCGGCGUGCUUAACACAUGCAAGUCGAGUGCGCGUACCGUAGCAAUACGGUAUGGCGCACGGCGCACGGGUGCGUAACACGUGGGCAAUCUGCCCUUCGAUGGGGAAUAACUCCGGGAAACCGAAGCUAAUUCCGCAUAACAUUCCUUGGACUUCGGUUCGAGGACUCAAAGCCGUAAGGCGUCGAAGGAGGAGCCCGCGCCCGAUUAGCUAGUUGGUGAGGUAACGGCUCACCAAGGCAAUGAUCGGUAGCUGGUCUGAGAGGAUGGCCAGCCACACUGGAACUGAGACACGGUCCAGACUCCUACGGGAGGCAGCAGUGGGGAAUCUUGCGCAAUGGGCGAAAGCCUGACGCAGCGACGCCGCGUGGGGGAUGAAGCAUUUCGGUGUGUAAACCCCUUUCGACUGGGACGAAUACCUCGCAAGAGGGGUGACGGUACCAGUAGAAGAAGCCCCGGCUAACUACGUGCCAGCAGCCGCGGUAAGACGUAGGGGGCCAGCGUUGUUCGGAAUUACUGGGUGUAAAGGGUUCGUAGGCGGUGUGGCAAGUCGGGAGUGAAAUCUAUGGGCUUAACCCAUAGGCUGCUUCCGAAACUGCCGUGCUUGAGUGUGGGAGAGGCGCGUGGAAUUGCAGGUGUAGCGGUGAAAUGCGUAGAUAUCUGCAGGAACACCCGUGGCGAAAGCGGCGCGCUGGACCACUACUGACGCUGAGGAACGAAAGCUAGGGGAGCAAACAGGAUUAGAUACCCUAGUAGUCC